UUGGGUUGCUGGGGGUGAGUUGUCUGUGGCUCCAGAGAAAGGAGAAAUCCUUAUCAUUUGAGGGAGCAAUCUCCGUUUGUUUUGCAGGAUGAUUAACAGACCUGUGAACCUGGAAAGGGGCAAUUUGGUUCCCAUGAGAUGACUGUUUCUGCUUACUAUCAUUCUUCUAAUGGGGUGAACUCUUUGCAAGGCUCCACUGUUCCUGGAAGGUUUACGACACUGUCUGAAGACUUCCAGGAGCUGCUGCAGAAGGAAGUUGUAAAAGUUCCUCAACCAUUGAAGGAAGAGAAGGGAAGGAAGGGCUUUACCUGCCUCUAUCUGAAGUGGUUCUGAAGGGUGUGGAACCUCAGACUGGGGCAGCAACCUGAGCACAUCACGCUGAUCUAUUCCUUCUUCCUUCCUGGGAUUAGAAUUAGCAUUUCCAUCCUCCAGGAAACCUGAGCAAUCCUACACAUCUAGGCACCUUUGGGCAGAUGCAUCAAUGUGCAAAUGUGACUUGUGUCAGAGCUCUGGUGUUGCACCGGAGCACGCUCACACCAACUCACAAAGACCUAGUUUUGUGUACAUCUCUCUAACUCCAUUAAGAGAUAUGUCUGUAGCUUGAAAUCACCAUUGUGGGAAUGUCUAUACCACAGAAAUCAAUAGCUGCUACAAAUCAGGUUAUUGGCUAUGACUGUUUUCAAGAACCACCUGUUGAACAUUUACCAGCAUACCACUGGGUACAGGUUUUAUGCGCAUGAGAAUGUCAGUGAUCUAUACCUGUGUCUAUCUGUGUAUAAGUACAGUUAUAAAAGUGCCUACCUGGUAGUGAGUUCAAUUUUUUAGAGUCUACAAAUUCAGGGAUACAAAAAUGUAACUAUUUUCCUAUAAUA